rnacentral:snRNA from 1 species
GUGCUCACUGCAGCAGCAUAUAUAUUAAAAUCAGAACAAUACAGAGAAGAUUAGCAUGGCCCCUGAGCAAGGAUGGCAUCCAAAUUGGUGAAGUGUUCUGUAUUUUU